UGUUGGCGGCGAUUGUCGGCCAUGUUGUCGUUCGUUGAUGUUAUCAAGUUUGUUUGUUGUGGUAGAUUAUUGUGAGUUUUUAACUAGCUUAGUGCAUUUUAAAGAUUGUUUACAAUGCCAAAAGUUGUCAAAAGUUCGGCUCGAGAAAUGAUAUUGAAGAUGAAAGAGUUCUG